UACGGGAGGCAGCAGUGGGGAAUAUUGCACAAUGGGCGCAAGCCUGAUGCAGCCAUGCCGCGUGUAUGAAGAAGGCCUUCGGGUUGUAAAGUACUUUCAGCAGUGAGGAAGGGGUGAUGUUUAAUAGAUACCAUUCUUGACGUUAGCUGCAGAAGAAGCACCGGCUAACUCCGUGCCAGCAGCCGCGGUAAUA
rnacentral:rRNA from 1 species